rnacentral:misc_RNA from 1 species
UUGCAAUUAAUUUUAAAAAUUAUAUUUUUAUAUGUGUAUUAAAGAAUCUGCAAUUCCACUUUUCAAAUUUUUUGAAGAAAAUGAAGGGAAACAAUUUGGAAAAAUUGAAAAAGGCUGUAAGUUCAUCCUUGGAUUGAGAAAGUGUGAGUGCAGAUUUAUGUCAAGCACUUAUGCCUGCUCCAUCAUUAAGUGUUGGUCCAACUCCAAGUAUUGACAAGUCCCUAUCCAAGGAUUCUCAAUGUGCAUUUUCUGCAUUAAGCAAGCCACAAAUUAUUCCACCAAAUAUGCCACAACCUGAUGCUAAUGAAAUUGAUGAAGGUAACAUGACACAAUCUGCUGCACAUCCUAUAUUGAAAUCUAGGAGUGGGGUUUGG